CUCUGCUGCAGGAGCCUAAAGCCUGCUGGUUCAGAAUGAACACCUCCUGCCCACUCCCUCUCGGAAAUGAAAUGUCAUCAAAGAUCCUGAGUACCUGCUUCACUUGGCCCUCCUGAGCUGAAGUUCCAGCAUCCCCCCGAUGGGCACUGGGUCCUCCUGCAAUUUCUCCACUGCUACCCACCUGUGCAAUAAGGGCAGCAUGCAGGCUGUGGUGGUCAUCAUCCCAGCCCUGAACUCCUUGUCCACGCUGCUGGUCGUCAGCUGCAUCUUAUGGAAGACAUGUCGACGGCGGGCCCGACUCACCUAUCCCAGCCCUCCAUCUCCAUGAAAGGACCCAGAUCUCAAGGAGCUCCUUUUAAAACUCAUCUCCAGUGGCCUGAAUGCUGGAAAGGCUUCUAAUACCAUCCUGCACGCUGAAAAU